GAAAGUGAGAUUUCAAGGGCCAGUGCCCGGCUCCCCCGGGCUGGCGGCGCCUGGGCGCGUGGCCGGGCUGCGAGGAGCGGCUCCCGGCCAAGUGGGCGCCGGGGCGGGAGCGCGGGCCAGGCACUUAGUUAGCGGGAGGUCCGGACCUCCAGAUCGGGGAGGUGGGGCCUCGUUUUUCCCGGUUGUACAUCGUUUUAUUCCUGUCCCCGUCCCCCAAGCUGCCAACUCCUAAGUUAGCGCUUUGGCUCCUGAGAGAUGGCCUGGCGUUAGGGGGAGAGCCCUCGUUGCCUAGUUGAAGUCUUGGGUCACACUUCCUGAACCUGCGUUUAUGCUUGUGUGAUACGAUUGAGUUUGUAGUCUGACCACUACAAACCUAAAGUUCCAAAGGCGAGAAGGAAACAAGAUCUGGGCCAGGCUUUGCAGACGAUUCCCGGAAUGACCCCGGCGUGGUUCUUCCGCCCUUCACCUUCCCCGCGUUUACCUGCGAAGUGUGCCUCGUCAACAGUCAACCUUGUCCAUGCACCUCUUGGGAGGAACAUUGUGAUGGGAGUUGUGAGCUUACUGUCGGUGUCUGAAGAACCUCCGGGACUUUGGAAAUAAUAGCGUAGUUUAUUCAGCUCGGGAUUGCCGCUUUCUGAUCCACGAAGAGCACAGUGGCAUAAGGUAAAGGAAGCAGACGUCCAAGGCAGAUGUACUGGCACAAGAUAAAAAUGAUGAUACAGCAGAUGUUGAAGAAACUGAUAUCAGAGGCUGGAAGAAGGAAACCCAUGCUUUGCAGUGGGAGAAUAAUUGUUCAUAGGUUGCAUCUGGACCUAAUGAAGAUGACUGCAUUACCUGAACAUCUAGUUUUUAGCCCAGCUGGUGUGGCUCAGCAACUGAACAUCAUCGUAUGAACCAGGAGGUCACAAUUUGAUUCCUGGUCA